AUACGGAGGGUGCAAGCGUUACUCGGAAUCACUGGGCGUAAAGCGCGCGCAGGCGGUCUUUUAAGUUGGAUGUGAAAGCCUACGGCUCAACCGUAGAACUGCAUCCAAAACUAUUAGACUGGAGUGUGGGAGAGGAAGAUGGAAUUAGUUGUGUAGGGGUAAAAUCCGUAGAGAUAACUAGGAAUACCAAAAGCGAAGGCAAUCUUCUGGAACACUACUGACGCUGAGGCGCGAAAGCGUGGGGAGCAAACAGGAUUAGAAACCCUAGUAGUCC
rnacentral:rRNA from 1 species